rnacentral:rRNA from 1 species
UCGACUGUUUACCAAAAACAUAGCUAUUAGAAAAAAGUAUUAAUAGUGAUGCCUGCUCAAUGAUUGAACAAUAAAAAAUCAACAACAAUUAAAUUGCCGCGGUAACACCUGACCGUGCAAAGGUAGCACAACAAGCAGCCUAUUAAUUAUAGGAUAGAAUGAAGGUAAAACGAAAUUUCAACUGUCUCAAGACCAAAUAUCCAAAAUAGAAUGUGUGUGCAAAUCCACACCACAGUAGCAAGACGAUAAGACCCUAAGAACUUUACCAAAAACUUACUCACAAUAAUAAGUCAUAAGUUUCGUUGGGGCAACGAUCUUUAAAAAAGUAACUAAGAUUCAACCAAUCAAAAACACACAGAUCAAUAAAUCUACAACAACGAUAAGACCCAUUAAAUAAAACCACAUUAAUGACAAAAAACAAAAGCUCCCUAGGGAUAACAGCGUUAUAUCGUCAAUAGAAAACAAUCCAGACGAUGUUUGCGACCUCGAUGGUUGAAUUACR